rnacentral:rRNA from 1 species
AUUGAACGCUGGCGGCAGGCCUAACACAUGCAAGUCGAACGAGUGGCGGACGGGUGAGUAAUGUGUGGGAAACAGCCCGAUGGAGGGGGAUAACUACUGGAAAAGGUAGCUAAUACCGCAUACCAUUGGAUGUGACCCGAGGGGAGUAGCUAGUAGGUGGGGUAACGGCUCACCUAGGCGACGAUCCCUAGCUGGUCUGAGAGGAUGACCAGCCACACUGGAACUGAGACACGGUCCAGACUCCUACGGGAGGCAGCAGUGGGGAAUAUUGCACAAUGGGCGCAAGCCUGAUGCAGCCAUGCCGCGUGUAUGAAGAAGGCCUUAGGGUUGUAAAGUACUUUCAGCGGGGAGGCGUUACCCGCAGAAGAAGCACCGGCUAACUCCGUGCCAGCAGCCGCGGUAAUUC